rnacentral:rRNA from 1 species
GAACGGACGAGAAGCUUGCUUCUCUGAUGUUAGCGGCGGACGGGUGAGUAACACGUGGAUAACCUACCUAUAAGACUGGGAUAACUUCGGGAAACCGGAGCUAAUACCGGAUAAUAUUUUGAACCGCAUGGUUCAAAAGUGAAAGACGGUCUUGCUGUCACUUAUAGAUGGAUCCGCGCUGCAUUAGCUAGUUGGUAAGGUAACGGCUUACCAAGGCAACGAUGCAUAGCCGACCUGAGAGGGUGAUCGGCCACACUGGAACUGAGACACGGUCCAGACUCCUACGGGAGGCAGCAGUAGGGAAUCUUCCGCAAUGGGCGAAAGCCUGACGGAGCAACGCCGCGUGAGUUAUGAAGGUCUUCGGAUCGUAAAACUCUGUUAUUAGGGAAGAACAUAUGUGUAAGUAACUGUGCACAUCUUGACGGUACCUAAUCAGAAAGCCACGGCUAACUACGUGCCAGCAGCCGCGGUAAUACGUAGGUGGCAAGCGUUAUCCGGAAUUAUUGGGCGUAAAGCGCGCGUAGGCGGUUUUUUAAGUCUGAUGUGAAAGCCCACGGCUCAACCGUGGAGGGUCAUUGGAAACUGGAAAACUUGAGUGCAGAAGAGGAAAGUGGAAUUCCAUGUGUAGCGGUGAAAUGCGCAGAGAUAUGGAGGAACACCAGUGGCGAAGGCGACUUUCUGGUCUGUAACUGACGCUGAUGUGCGAAAGCGUGGGGAUCAAACAGGAUUAGAUACCCUGGUAGUCCACGCCGUAAACGAUGAGUGCUAAGUGUUAGGGGGUUUCCGCCCCUUAGUGCU